ensembl:snRNA U6 U6 spliceosomal RNA
GUGCUCACAUAUUCGGCAGCACAUAUACGAAAAUUGGAACGAUACAGAGAAGAUUAGCAUGGCCCCUGCGCAAAGAUGACGUGCAAAUUCAUGAAGCGUUCCAUAUUUUU